rnacentral:misc_RNA from 1 species
CUUGAGAUUUCACAAGGUAUGCCUGCUGACAGCACUACGUUCUUAUCUUCUUCUGGUGUUCUUAGCAGCAAUGAAAAUGAUAACUCAAACAUUAGCAAGGAUGGGCUUUUGACUACCUUUGAAAAGUUAGCAUGGGCACAUCUUGAUGUUUACUGCAAAUUGCAGAGACAAACAUCCAUUAACUUAAAUGAGAGUGAAUCAGGGGAAUUAUCUUAUUUAUACAAGAG